AAAAAAAACAACGGAACGUUUUAAAAAUCAACAUUAAUUUCUUAUUCGUUUUAUCGUAUUUGGAUUGUACACGUAAGUUUGCUUCCAAAAAGGCGAGUUAAGAUGAUUCACAAGGAGGAGGUGAUUCAAGCGUAAAUAACUUGCCUAAGCAGAAAGAGAGUAUAUUAUCGGAAAAGGAAAUAUCAAGGUAGAAGAGAACGCGUUUAACGAGAACUUAAAUAAUACGUGAAUUGUUACGUUCCUGAAUUCACGGAGUGUGCGCAUGCGCGUUAUAACGCGCAGAUGCGAAGUAAACAAGUGGGGAUAACGAACAGUGAGACUAAUCGCAUCAAGUCACUCGUUACAAGCAGUCGUAAACGACAACGAUGAGAGAGAGAAGGGAAUUUCUGUCGUUCUGCUGACAAAUGAAAAGAUCAUUUGUAUUAAUACGUUCACUCGUCAUCCUAUUAAUUUUUUCUAUUCAUUUAUCAAUCUCUUUUGUGUCUUUCAAGAAAUUUCUACCGAUAAUUAAAGAAGUUUUAGUCGAAAUAAAACUAGUGUGACUACUCUCAUCCGUGAAUGGAAUGUGGUCCUUGUAAUUAUUCCAAGAAUAAUAUUUCAGUGGAAAGACGAUAAUGAAUAGGCAUAAAUAUAUUGUACGUUAAUGUCUAACAAUAUGCGAAAGAGAAAAUAUUUAUAUACGUAUAAUUUAAUAGGAUUGUCAUUAUUAUACCAUUACUAUUAACAUUCGUCACGAAACGCUGUAUAAUAUAAGCAGGAAUGUAAAGUUAUUGAUGCAUGAUGAAUGCAUCGAUGAUGUACAGCUGUUGUUGUUAUUGUUAUUGUUGGUUAUUGUUCUUAAUUGGUAAAGAAAAAUAUUAUAGAUCUUAUACAUUACACAGUGUAAUAUAAUUACACUAUUUUAAUGUAAGCAGCAGCAGGUCAAGCAUAUAACCGCGAGAGGUCAGCGUGCUAGGUUUGUAGAAAAGAACGCAACAAUGUGCGUAAUGAGUAUGGCUGAUGCCUUGGCCACGUGUACAACUGUAGAUUCAAAGCUAUAUAAUAACGAUAAAAUAGAUUAAACAAAUAUUUGAAAGAA
rnacentral:lncRNA from 1 species